CGCCCCUCUCUCCUCUCUCACAGACAUGAGCGUCUUCGCGCUGGCACGCUCUGCUGCAUUAGGAGGACCUCAUCUCAGAAAGAAAAAGAAAACAAGAUUGAAGGCGCGAAAGCAACGGUACAGUUCAGACAGCAGCAACAGAAGCAGCCAAGCACUCACGCAGCCCAACAGGUAAAAGUGCGUCAGAUGCGAGCGCGUGCAAACUACACAGUCAUGUAUACAGCUAACUGCUGCGUUGCUGCACGCCGAUGUAGUGUUGUGUUGGUGCUCUGCGCCGUCCUUUUCGCUGCGUGCGGGCUGAGCCUCGUCGCAGAGCCUCCCAAGCACGCGGCGGAAGACAUGGACAGCAGAGGUAGUAGCAGCUCACGAAGCGAGUGCGAUGGCUAUAGACGUCAAGACCACCCACUCCACCCGUUUUGCGGUGUCGAGUUCGCAGAGAGCUACACGGUUGCGAUCGCUACCACGAUGCCCCUGGAAAAUCUCCCGCCCAUGACGCAGAUUGGGCAGCUGUACGUGGACAGGGUCGCCGAUGCUGCUCGUGUGGAUCAGGUAUACCGUGGGCAGCGCACCUCCUUCCUCUUAGACAACCGCCACCUGCGCGGCUUUUUCUUCUUCGACACACCGAGUGGCGCUGCCGCUGCGCAGGCAAGAAAUGGCAAGGACGGCGAUGACGAGGGCCCUCGUCAGCGCUGCCAUGUCUUCUACCUGACACACAAGGUCGCACCCUUCUGCGUGCCGCGGCGCUACACCGCGUCCUCGCGCGAGUCAGUGGUUCGCGGCGUGCCGGUGACCCGCUUUAGUGGCACGGAACGGUACGAUCACACACCGCUGGUGGAGCAGAGCUUCUACGUACUGAACGCGACGGACGCGGGCGCGGCGGUACCAAGGGCAAUUCCGUGGCGGCUGGAGCUAAGCGCGCGUUCAGACCUCGAGCUGAGUAAGAUCACCGAGGCCUCCUAUGAGCCGCCGAAUUGGCGCUUUUUUGGCCACCCCAUGUUCGAUGAACUCGUCCUUUCCACCGGGCAGGAGAGCCGCUUGCAGUUGUGGAAAGCCGCAUACGAUCUGCUCACGGUGGAUUUCUACAACUACUACCCCACGAAGUUGAGGCCAGAUGUUUUCGCGGUGCCACCACAGUGCACAGCGGUGCUUCGCAAGGGCACGAGUACCGGCAGCGGCGCCGCUGAAGAAGCGAGCGCAUUGGCGCGCGACAGAACGGCCUCAUCGGCUUUAACGGAGCCGCUGCUCGAGUUGGCGACGAUCGAACUCUUUCUUCUUCCGUGGCACGUCUUGCAGAACGCAUCCGUGGGGUUGCACGCGGCCAAGAAAGUGGAUGGGCAGUGAGGUAAGGGAAGGUGUGGAUGGCACGCGUGUCUCUGCCCCAUCCCUGUCACCUUCGUCGAACACGCCGGCGGUGUUUUGAACUUUAGGUGAGAGAAGGUCCAUCCACUAACCUGGCGCGCGUCCACGCAUAUAUGACAUCGUCACCUCUGCAUCUCCCUCCCUCCCACUCCCCAGUGCUUUUCCUUUCUGAUGCGGCUGCGGCUGCGCAUUGCAACUCUCGGUCGAGGCACGACGAUCUCGCGGAAUUCGUCGGGUAGAAGAAAGUGGAAGAAGAACUUGGGUGGCCCUAGCCACCACUAAUCUCUUGUUGUUCGUUGCUUGCUGAUCAGCCUUCAUCGCCGAUCCUAGACUCGCUUCUUGCGUUGUUUGUUUGCCGUUGCUUGUCCAUUUUCUUUCUCUCUUUGUUGGGGUUGCGGAUCGCAAUCUUUCACCACAUAGCUCUCCGAGUGCUGCGGCUGCCCCUCAUCAAUGGGUGCGUGUAUUUGUGGGGUAUGUCGAUACACGACCGUUUACCAUCUCGCCAUCACCACGUCCUUCACAUGCACGCCUGCGCCACGCUCACUUUGCCAUCCUGUGUCCUUUCUCAUACGUCGCUCGAAAACAGAAAUAAUAAUAAAACGCUGUCGUCUUUGCCUCCUUUCUUUUUGUUUGUUUUCUCGCCUCUCUCCAGGCUUCGUGCCUCUCGCCCUCCACCUCCCAUCAUAUCACAUCCCCACCCACCCAUAUGUCAGCCUUCUGCAUGCAAGGGUUCUGACGAUAUCAGCAGCCAAGACGACAACAAGCGCAUCUGCUUCGAUGCACCACCUACGCGGAGAGCGAAACAACGCGCACGGUGGGCAUGCGUGAAUAGCACGGAGGUGUGCCCAUGUACGCAGCCGAACAGUGUAUGUCGCAGUGCUCAUGUCUCCCCCCUAUCCCCUCCCCCUCCUUUCUCUCUCGCCUUGGUGGCGAGCGUGCGCGUGUGAAGACCUUUGGAAGAAGGGGGAGAUGAGCGGCAAGCGGUCGGUGUCGACGUAAGUGCCGAUGUGCUCUCCGUGGCCGCUCAUCAGUUUCGGCUCUUUCCCUUUCGUUUCUGCCUCCUCCCCCCUCCCCCGCACUGUCUGCCGCCGCCAUCCACUUUUCAUCCGUGCAUUGAUUGUUCACGCGCACACGUGUGUCCGCACACAUACACACAUACUUAUUCAUGCGGAUGGGGAGACCAUCCUCGCAC
rnacentral:misc_RNA from 1 species